GAUGAACGCUAGCUACAGGCUUAACACAUGCAAGUCGAGGGGCAGCGGGUUGAAAGCUUGCUUUCAAUGCCGGCGACCGGCGCACGGGUGCGUAACGCGUAUCAAACCUGCCUCAUACUCGGGGAUAGCCUUGCGAAAGUAAGAUUAAUACCCGAUGUUAUUAGUUUGCCGCAUGGUGGACUAAUCAAAGAUUUAUCGGUAUGAGAUGGUGAUGCGUCCGAUUAGGUAGUAGGCGGGGUAACGGCCCACCUAGCCUUCGAUCGGUAGGGGUUCUGAGAGGAAGGUCCCCCACACUGGAACUGAGACACGGUCCAGACUCCUACGGGAGGCAGCAGUGAGGAAUAUUGGUCAAUGGACGCAAGUCUGAACCAGCCAAGUAGCGUGCAGGAUGACGGCCCUCCGGGUUGUAAACUGCUUUUAGUUGGGAAUAAAAAAAGGGACGUGUCCCUUAUUGUAUGUACCUUCAGAAAAAGGACCGGCUAAUUCCGUGCCAGCAGCCGCGGUAAUACGGAAGGUCCAGGCGUUAUCCGGAUUUAUUGGGUUUAAAGGGAGCGUAGGCGGAUUGUUAAGUCAGCGGUUAAAGGGUGUGGCUCAACCAUACAUUGCCGUUGAAACUGGCGAUCUUGAGUGCAGACAGGGAUGCCGGAAUUCGUGGUGUAGCGGUGAAAUGCUUAGAUAUCACGAAGAACUCCGAUCGCGAAGGCAGGUGUCCGGGGCUGCAACUGACGCUGAGGCUCGAAAGUGUGGGUAUCAAACAGG
rnacentral:rRNA from 1 species